rnacentral:rRNA from 1 species
GAUGAACGCUAGUGGCAGGCCUAAUACAUGCAAGUCGAACGGUAAAUAUUGUAGCAAUACGAUAUGAGAGUGACGUACGGGUGCGUAACACGUAUGCAACCUACCCAAAACUGGAGUAUAGCUCGGGGAAUCCCGAAUUAACCCUUCAUAGUAUCACUGGAUGGCAUCAUUUGGUGAUUAAAACUCAGGUGGUUUUGGAUGGGCAUGCGUCUGAUUAGCUAGUUGGCGGGGUAAAGGCCCACCAAGGCGAUGAUCAGUAGGGGAACUGAGAGGUUGAUCCCCCACACUGGCACUGAGAUACGGCCCAGACUCCUAUGGGAGGCAGCAGUAGGGAAUAUUGGUCAAUGGAUGCAAGUCUGAACCAGCCAUGCCGCGUGCAGGAAGAAGGCCUUCUGGGUUGUAAUCUGCUUUUGCCAGAGGAUAAAAUGGGCGUGCGCGCCUAAUUGAAGGUACCUGGUGAAUAAGCCACGGCUAACUACGUGCCAGCAGCCGCGGUAA